GUGAGUAACACGUGGAUAACCUACCUAUAAGACUGGGAUAACUUCGGGAAACCGGAGCUAAUACCGGAUAAUAUAUUGAACCGCAUGGUUCAAUAGUGAAAGACGGUUUUGCUGUCACUUAUAGAUGGAUCCGCGCCGCAUUAGCUAGUUGGUAAGGUAACGGCUUACCAAGGCGACGAUGCGUAGCCGACCUGAGAGGGUGAUCGGCCACACUGGAACUGAGACACGGUCCAG
rnacentral:rRNA from 1 species